rnacentral:ncRNA from 1 species
CACCUGGUUGAUCCUGCCAGUAGUCAUAUGCUUGUCUCAAAGAUUAAGCCAUGCAUGUCUAAGUAUAAGCUUUAAACGGCGAAACUGCGAAUGGCUCAUUAAAACAGUUAUAGUUUAUUUGGUGAUCGAUUACUAUUUGGAUAACCGUAGUAAUUCUAGAGCUAAUACAUGCGUCAAGGCCCGACUUCGGAAGGGCUGCGUUUAUUAGAUACAGAACCAACCUAGGCUCCGCCUAGUCCUUGUUGGUGAUUCAUAAUAACCCGGCGAAUCGCACGGCUUGUCCGGCGAUGGACCAUUCAAGUUUCUGACCUAUCAGCUAUGGACGGUAGGGUAUUGGCCUACCGUGGCGUUGACGGGUAACGGGGAAUUAGGGUUCGAUUCCGGAGAGGGAGCCUGAGAAACGGCUACCACAUCUAAGGAAGGCAGCAGGCGCGCAAAUUACCCAAUCCUGAUACAGGGAGGUAGUGACAAGAAAUAACAAUACAGGGCAAUUCUGUCUUGUAAUUGGAAUGAGUAGAUUUUAAAUCUCUUUACGAGUAUCAAUUGGAGGGCAAGUCUGGUGCCAGCAGCCGCGGUAAUUCCAGCUCCAAUAGCGUAUAUUAAAGUUGUUGCGGUUAAAAAGCUCGUAGUUGGAUUUCUGCCUUGGGCGACCGAUCCACCUUUCCUACGGGAUUGGUCGGUAUCAGGUUUGACCUUGGCUUUUUCUUGGGAUUCGUGCUCACGUACUUAA